rnacentral:rRNA from 1 species
AACGAACGCUGGCGGCGUGCUUAACACAUGCAAGUCGAACGAGAAAGGGACUUCGGUCCUGAGUACAGUGGCGCACGGGUGAGUAACACGUGGAUAAUCUACCUGAUGGACAGGGAUAACAUCUCGAAAGAGGUGCUAAUACCAGAUAAGCCCACAGCAUCUACGGGUGCAGCGGGAAAAGGGGGCCUCUUCAUGAAAGCUUCCACCAACAGAUGAGUCCGCGGUCCAUUAGCUAGUUGGUAGGGUAAUGGCCUACCAAGGCCACGAUGGAUAGCUGGUUUGAGAGAAUGAUCAGCCACACUGGAACUGAGACACGGUCCAGACUCCUACGGGAGGCAGCAGUGGGGAAUAUUGCGCAAUGGGGGAAACCCUGACGCAGCAACGCCGCGUGAGUGAUGAAGGUUUUCGGAUCGUAAAGCUCUGUCAAGAGGGAAGAAACCCCGAUAGGCUAAUACCUUGUCGGAUUGACGGUACCUCUAAAGGAAGCACCGGCUAACUCCGUGCCAGCAGCCGCGGUAAUACGGAGGGUGCGAGCGUUGUCCGGAAUUAUUGGGCGUAAAGCGCGUGC